AGAGCCUGUCCCAAGCACGUCUCGUGGGGUCCUCCAGCAGCAGGCUGUCGCUAGAGGGCCUGUCCCAAGCACGUCUCGUGGGGUCCUCCAGCAGCAAGCCGUCGCUAGAGAGCCUGUCCCAAGCACAUCUCGUGGGGUCCUCCAGCAGCAGGCUGUCGCUAGAG